UUGUCGAAUUCAGGGCCGUAACUACAUUGAGGCAAAUGAGGCAAAUGCCUCAUGUUUUAAAUUUCAAAAAAAAAAAAAAAAAGCUAAAACAAAAGAUUGUCUUCAUAUGAUUGUCUUCAUAUCAAAUUGUUUUUACUGAAAGUGUCUUGCAAGAAGCAAGUUCUCUUCACUCUCUGAUGUCGCCCCUGCAUAUUUUUCGUAAUCCAUGUUUCUAUUUUACUUUUUGUUUUCAGAGUUGAUGGUCUAUUGUUUGUACUUCUGUGUCCCGGG
rnacentral:lncRNA from 1 species